rnacentral:rRNA from 1 species
CUACGGGGGGCUGCAGUGGGGAAUUUUGGACAAUGGGCGAAAGCCUGAUCCAGCCAUGCCGCGUGCGGGAAGAAGGCCUUCGGGUUGUAAACCGCUUUUGUCAGGGAAGAAAUGUUCCGGGCUAAUACCUCGGAGAAAUGACGGUACCUGAAGAAUAAGCACCGGCUAACUACGUGCCAGCAGCCGCGGUAAUACGUAGGGUGCAAGCGUUAAUCGGAAUUACUGGGCGUAAAGCGUGCGCAGGCGGUUGUGCAAGACAGGUGUGAAAUCCCCGGGCUUAACCUGGGAACUGCACUUGUGACUGCACGGCUUGAGUGCGGCAGAGGGGGAUGGAAUUCCGCGUGUAGCAGUGAAAUGCGUAGAUAUGCGGAGGAACACCGAUGGCGAAGGCAAUCCCCUGGGCCUGCACUGACGCUCAUGCACGAAAGCGUGGGGAGCAAACAGGAUUAGAUACCCUGGUAGUC